rnacentral:rRNA from 1 species
AUUGAACGCUGGCGGCAGGCCUAACACAUGCAAGUCGAGCGGGGUUUUCGGGCCUAGCGGCGGACGGGUGAGUAAUGCGUAGGAAGCUACCCGAUAGAGGGGGAUACCAGUUGGAAACGACUGUUAAUACCGCAUAAUGUCUACGGACCAAAGUGUGGGACCUUCGGGCCACAUGCUAUCGGAUGCGCCUACGUGGGAUUAGCUAGUUGGUGAGGUAAUGGCUCACCAAGGCGACGAUCCCUAGCUGGUUUGAGAGGAUGAUCUGCCACACUGGAACUGAGACACGGUCCAGACUCCUACGGAAGGCAGCAGUGGGGAAUAUUGGACAAUGGGCGCAAGCCUGAUCCAGCCAUGCCGCGUGGGUGAAGAAGGCCUUCGGGUUGUAAAGCACUUUCAGCGAGGAGGAAGGGGUGAGUGUUAAUAGUACUCAUCUUUGACGUUACUCGCAGAAGAAGCACCGGCUAACUCUGUGCCAGCCGCCGCAGUAAUAC